CGCCAGACUCCUACGGGAGGCAGCAGUGGGGAAUAUUGGGCAAUGGGCGCAAGCCUGACCCAGCAACGCCGCGUGAAGGAAGAAGGCUUUCGGGUUGUAAACUUCUUUUAAGAGGGAAGAGUAGAAGACGGUACCUCUUGAAUAAGCCACGGCUAACUACGUGCCAGCAGCCGCGGUAAUACGUAGGUGGCAAGCGUUGUCCGGAAUUACUGGGUGUAAAGGGAGCGUAGGCGGGACUGCAAGUUGGGUGUCAAAUCUACCGGCUCAACCGGUAGCCGCACUCAAAACUGCAGUUCUUGAGUGAAGUAGAGGCAGGCGGAAUUCCUAGUGUAGCGGUGAAGUGCGUAGAUAUUAGGAGGAACACCAGUGGCGAAGGCGGCCUGCUGGGCUUUUACUGACGCUGAGGCGCGAAAGUGUGGGGAGCAAACAGGAUUAGAUACCCCCGUAAU
rnacentral:rRNA from 1 species